rnacentral:rRNA from 1 species
GACACGACCGUACCGCAAACCGACACUGGUGCGCGAGAUGAGUAUUCUAAGGCGCUUGAGAGAACUCAGGAGAAGGAACUCGGCAAAUUGACACCGUAACUUCGGAAGAAGGUGUGCCUUUAGUAGGUGAACCAUUUACUUGGGGAGCCCAAUGAGGCUGCAAAAAAUCGGUGGCUGCAACUGUUUAUUAAAAACACAGCACUCUGCUAAGACGAAAGUCGACGUAUAGGGUGUGACGCCUGCCCGGUGCUGGAAGAUUAAAUGAUGGGGUGCAAGCUCUUGAUUGAAGUCCCAGUAAACGGCGGCCGCAACAAUAACGGUCCUAAGGUAGCGAAAUUCCUUGUCGGGUAAGUUCCGACCUGCACGAAUGGCGUAAUGAUGGCCACACUGUCUCCUCCUGAGACUCAGCGAAGUUGAAAUGUUUGUGAUGAUGCAAUCUCCCCGCGGAAAGACGGAAAGACCCCAUGAACCUUUACUGUAGCUUUGUAUUGGACUUUGAACAGAUCUGUGUAGGAUAGGUGGGAGGCUUUGAAGUGUGGUCGCUAGAUCGCAUGGAGCCAACGUUGAAAUACCACCCUGGUGUGUUUGAGGUUCUAACCUAGGUCCAUUAUCUGGAUCGGGGACAGUGCAUGGUAGGCAGUUUGACUGGGGCGGUCUCCUCCCAAAGUGUAACGGAGGAGAUCGAAGGUACGCUAGGUACGGUCGGACAUCGUGCUAAUAGUGCAAUGGCAUAAGCGUGCUUAACUGCGAGACUGACAAGUCGAGCAGAUGCGAAAGCAGGACAUAGUGAUCCGGUGGUUCUGUAUGGAAGGGCCAUCGCUCAACGGAUAAAAGGUACUCUGGGGAUAACAGGCUGAUACCGCCCAAGAGUUCAUAUCGACGGCGGUGUUUGGCACCUCGAUGUCGGCUCAUCUCAUCCUGGGGCUGUAGCCGGUCCCAAGGGUAUGGCUGUUCGCCAUUUAAAGAGGUACGUGAGCUGGGUUUAAAACGUCGUGAGACAGUUUGGUCCCUAUCUUCCGUGGGCGCUGCAGAUUUGAGGAAGCCUGCUCCUAGUACGAGAGGACCGGAGUGGACGAACCUCUGGUGUAUCGGUUGUCACGCCAGUGGCAUUGCCGAGUAGCUAAGUUCGGAAGAGAUAACCGCUGAAAGCAUCUAAGCGGGAAACUCGUUUCAAGAUUAGAUCUGCCGGGGCCUUGAGCCCCCUAAAGAGUCGUUCAAGACCAGGACGUUGAUAGGUCAGGUGUGGAAGC